rnacentral:rRNA from 1 species
AUUAAGCACUCCGCCUGGGGAGUACGACCGCAAGGUUGAAACUCAAAGGAAUUGACGGGGGCCCGCACAAGCGGUGGAGCAUGUGGUUUAAUUCGAAGCAACGCGAAGAACCUUACCAGGUCUUGACAUCCUUUGACCACUCUGGAGACAGAGCUUUCCCUUCGGGGACAAAGUGACAGGUGGUGCAUGGUUGUCGUCAGCUCGUGUCGUGAGAUGUUGGGUUAAGUCCCGCAACGAGCGCAACCCUUGAUUUUAGUUGCCAGCAUUUAGUUGGGCACUCUAAAGUGACUGCCGGUGCAAGCCGGAGGAAGGUGGGGAUGACGUCAAAUCAUCAUGCCCCUUAUGACCUGGGCUACACACGUGCUACAAUGGAUAGUACAAAGGGUCGCGAAGCCGCGAGGUGGAGCUAAUCCCAUAAAACUAUUCUCAGUUCGGAUUGUAGGCUGCAACUCGCCUACAUGAAGCCGGAAUCGCUAGUAAUCGUGGAUCAGCAUGCCACGGUGAAUACGUUCCCGGGCCUUGUACACACCGCCCGUCACACCACGAGAGUUUGUAACACCCGAAGUCGGUAGGGUAACCUUUAUGGAGCCAGCCGCCGAAGGUGGGACAGAUAAUUGGGGUGAAGUCGUAACAAGGUAGCCGUAUCGGAAGGUGCGGCUGGAUCACCUCCUU